rnacentral:lncRNA from 1 species
UUUAAAUGUUUUGUAACAUUCGGUACGAAAAAAUGUAAUUCUGCGUUCUCAAUCUCCUUACGAAAGAAUGUUGUUUUUCCGAAAUUGCACGAAAUCCUCCGGUUAACAACCCUAGUUAAAACGUGUUUGUAAACAACCGUAAAUUAUCCAUUUAGAAAGAUAUACGCGGUGUAUACUCAAACAUUGUUUUCAAUUAUUACUUUUGUCAUCCGCAUAUCAGGAUUUAACCACUCCUCUAUUUUGAAGUUAUCCCCAAUGUUUAUUGAAGCUCCGGUGUCUAUUAGAACGUUUAUUGGUAUAUUUUCUAUGUUAAUCGUUACAUCGAAGUUCUCAAGUCCGUCGUUAGAUAUCUGUUUAGCAUUGACAGAGAACAACUCUCCUUCGUUCAACUUUGACUGAGGAUUUUCGGAUUCAUUGAUAUCUUUUUUUACAGACUGUUGCAAAAUGUCCGAUUUUCCCGCAGGAGUGGCAAGAUUUCCCCAAAGCUAAACAUAUAUUCGUGUGUGGAAAUUUGUUUCCACAUCGGUAGCAAGUUCUUUUUAGCGAGUUUCUGUCUCAUGUGGCGCUUGACUGGUUUGUGGAAAUUUUGUUUUAUUUACUGUAUUUACUUCUUUUUGUUUUAUCAAGUUCUUCUAUUUGAUGGUUCAUCAGCUCAAAUGUUUUGGCAGUAGUUAACAAGUCCUGUAGAGUUUUGUUAGGAUUUUGAAAACUGUAUUUCCGUAGUUUUGAAAUAUUUGUGCAAAGCUCAAUUUGUUGUUUAAUUUCUUUAUCCUUACCAGCAAACUCGCACUUGAUAGCUUGUUCGUUUAAUCGAACGAAAAACUGCUGAGUGGUUUUGUCUAUACGUUGAGCCAUCUUGCGAAAAAUAAAGAUUUCAUAGCUCAGGUUUACUUGGGGCUUGAAAUGCUCGUUAAAAGCUUCGACAGCUUGUUGGUAUGUGAUUAGAGUAUCUUCAGGUAUAGUGUUUUCAUAAAUUUCGUAAGUGUUAUCUCCAAUUAAAGUUAGAAGUAACGAUUUAAAUUAAAGUUAGAAGUAACGUUUGUUUAUCGUCUGUAAUUACAAGUGAAUCACAAACUAGCUCAAAUCGUUUAAUGUAUCGUUUCCAGCUUGAAAAUAACUUACUUGCUUCUUCAGUACAUGAAAACGGUGGAAAGUUUGGUAAAUUAAGGUUUUUUAUAGCCAUGGAUAAAUACGCUUUUUACUAAAAUCUUCUUUAAUUUUUUUUUUUUAAUUUCUUUUCUUUUAUCUUCGUUGCCAAUUUAAUG